AUUGAACGCUGGCGGCAUGCUUUACACAUGCAAGUCGAACGGCAGCGCGGGCUUCGGCCUGGCGGCGAGUGGCGAACGGGUGAGUAAUGCAUCGGAACGUGCCCAGUAGUGGGGGAUAGCCCGGCGAAAGCCGGAUUAAUACCGCAUACGACCUGAGGGUGAAAGCGGGGGACCGAAAGGCCUCGCGCGAUUGGAGCGGCCGAUGUCGGAUUAGCUAGUUGGUGGGGUAAAGGCUUACCAAGGCGACGAUCCGUAGCUGGUCUGAGAGGACGACCAGCCACACUGGGACUGGGACACGGCCCAGACUCCUACGGGAGGCAGCAGUGGGGAAUUUUGGACAAUGGGGGCAACCCUGGUCCAGCCCUGCCGCGUGCGGGGAGAAGGCCUUCGGGUUGUAAACCGCUUUUGUUCGGGAAGAAAUCCUCUGGGCUAAUACCCCGGGGGGAUGACGGUACCGGAAGAAUAAGCACCGGCUAACUACGUG
rnacentral:rRNA from 1 species